rnacentral:rRNA from 1 species
CAUUCAGUUGGGCACUCUAGGGAGACUGCCGGUGACAAACCGGAGGAAGGUGGGGAUGACGUCAAAUCAUCAUGCCCCUUAUGAGUUGGGCUACACACGUGCUACAAUGGACGGUACAAAGGGCAGCGAGACCGCGAGGUGGAGCCAAUCCCAUAAAGCCGUUCCCAGUUCGGAUUGCAGGCUGCAACUCGCCUGCAUGAAGUCGGAAUCGCUAGUAAUCGCAGGUCAGCAUACUGCGGUGAAUACGUUCCCGGGUCUUGUACACACCGCCCGUCACACCACGAGAGUUUGCAACACCCGAAGCCGGUGAGGUAACCGCAAGGAGCCAGCCGUCGAAGGUGGGGUAGAUGAUUGGGGUGAAGUCGUAACAAGGUAGCCGUAUCGGAAGGUGCGGCUGGAUCACCUCCUUUCUAAGGA